rnacentral:rRNA from 1 species
UACAGAGGGUGCAAACGUUGCUCGGAAUUAUUGGGCGUAAAGCGCGUGUAGGCGGCCUCGUAAGUCGACUGUGAAAGCCCUUGGCUCAACCAAGGAAGUGCAGUCGAAACUGCGAGACUAGAGUGCUGAAGAGGAUAGCGGAAUGGCCAGUGUAGAGGUGAAAUUCGUAGAUAUUGGCUAGAACACCGGUGGCGAAGGCGGCUAUCUGGGAAGUUACUGACGCUGAGACGCGAAAGCGUGGGGAGCAAACAGGAUUAGAAACCCCGUGUA